UAAGGGCGCACGGUGGAUGCCUUGGCACUAGAAGCCGAUGAAGGACGUUACUAACGACGAUAUGCUUUGGGGAGCUGUAAGUAAGCUUUGAUCCAGAGAUUUCCGAAUGGGGAAACCCAGCAUGAGUUAUGUCAUGUUAUCGAUAUGUGAAUACAUAGCAUAUCAGAAGGCACACCCGGAGAACUGAAACAUCUUAGUACCCGGAGGAAGAGAAAGAAAAUUCGAUUCCCUUAGUAGCGGCGAGCGAAACGGGAAGAGCCCAAACCAACAAGCUUGCUUGUUGGGGUUGUAGGACACUCUAUACGGAGUUACAAAGGACGACAUUAGACGAAUCAUCUGGAAAGAUGAAUCAAAGAAGGUAAUAAUCCUGUAGUCGAAAAUGUUGUCUCUCUUGAGUGGAUCCUGAGUACGACGGAGCACGUGAAAUUCCGUCGGAAUCUGGGAGGACCAUCUCCUAAGGCUAAAUACUCUCUAGUGACCGAUAGUGAACCAGUACCGUGAGGGAAAGGUGAAAAGCACCCCGGAAGGGGAGUGAAAUAGAACCUGAAACCGUGUGCUUACAAGUAGUCAGAGCCCGUUAAUGGGUGAUGGCGUGCCUUUUGUAGAAUGAACCGGCGAGUUACGAUUUGAUGCAAGGUUAAGCAGUAAAUGUGGAGCCGUAGCGAAAGCGAGUCUGAAUAGGGCGUUUAGUAUUUGGUCGUAGACCCGAAACCAGGUGAUCUACCCUUGGUCAGGUUGAAGUUCAGGUAACACUGAAUGGAGGACCGAACCGACUUACGUUGAAAAGUGAGCGGAUGAACUGAGGGUAGCGGAGAAAUUCCAAUCGAACCUGGAGAUAGCUGGUUCUCUCCGAAAUAGCUUUAGGGCUAGCCUCAAGUGAUGAUUAUUGGAGGUAGAGCACUGUUUGGACGAGGGGCCCCUCUCGGGUUACCGAAUUCAGACAAACUCCGAAUGCCAAUUAAUUUAACUUGGGAGUCAGAACAUGGGUGAUAAGGUCCGUGUUCGAAAGGGAAACAGCCCAGACCACCAGCUAAGGUCCCAAAAUAUAUGUUAAGUGGAAAAGGAUGUGGCGUUGCCCAGACAACUAGGAUGUUGGCUUAGAAGCAGCCAUCAUUUAAAGAGUGCGUAAUAGCUCACUAGUCGAGUGACACUGCGCCGAAAAUGUACCGGGGCUAAACAUAUUACCGAAGCUGUGGAUUGUCCUUUGGACAAUGGUAGGAGAGCGUUCUAAGGGCGUUGAAGCAUGAUCGUAAGGACAUGUGGAGCGCUUAGAAGUGAGAAUGCCGGUGUGAGUAGCGAAAGACGGGUGAGAAUCCCGUCCACCGAUUGACUAAGGUUUCCAGAGGAAGGCUCGUCCGCUCUGGGUUAGUCGGGUCCUAAGCUGAGGCCGACAGGCGUAGGCGAUGGAUAACAGGUUGAUAUUCCUGUACCACCUAUAAUCGUUUUAAUCGAUGGGGGGACGCAGUAGGAUAGGCGAAGCGUGCGAUUGGAUUGCACGUCUAAGCAGUAAGGCUGAGUAUUAGGCAAAUCCGGUACUCAUUAAGGCUGAGCUGUGAUGGGGAGAAGACAUUGUGUCUUCGAGUCGUUGAUUUCACACUGCCGAGAAAAGCCUCUAGAUAGAAAAUAGGUGCCCGUACCGCAAACCGACACAGGUAGUCAAGAUGAGAAUUCUAAGGUGAGCGAGCGAACUCUCGUUAAGGAACUCGGCAAAAUGACCCCGUAACUUCGGGAGAAGGGGUGCUCUUUAGGGUUAACGCCCAGAAGAGCCGCAGUGAAUAGGCCCAAGCGACUGUUUAUCAAAAACACAGGUCUCUGCUAAACCGUAAGGUGAUGUAUAGGGGCUGACGCCUGCCCGGUGCUGGAAGGUUAAGAGGAGUGGUUAGCUUCUGCGAAGCUACGAAUCGAAGCCCCAGUAAACGGCGGCCGUAACUAUAACGGUCCUAAGGUAGCGAAAUUCCUUGUCGGGUAAGUUCCGACCCGCACGAAAGGCGUAACGAUUUGGGCACUGUCUCAACGAGAGACUCGGUGAAAUCAUAGUACCUGUGAAGAUGCAGGUUACCCGCGACAGGACGGAAAGACCCCGUGGAGCUUUACUGUAGCCUGAUAUUGAAAUUCGGCACAGCUUGUACAGGAUAGGUAGGAGCCUUUGAAACGUGAGCGCUAGCUUACGUGGAGGCGCUGGUGGGAUACUACCCUAGCUGUGUUGGCUUUCUAACCCGCACCACUUAUCGUGGUGGGAGACAGUGUCAGGCGGGCAGUUUGACUGGGGCGGUCGCCUCCUAAAAGGUAACGGAGGCGCUCAAAGGUUCCCUCAGAAUGGUUGGAAAUCAUUCAUAGAGUGUAAAGGCAUAAGGGAGCUUGACUGCGAGACCUACAAGUCGAGCAGGGUCGAAAGACGGACUUAGUGAUCCGGUGGUUCCGCAUGGAAGGGCCAUCGCUCAACGGAUAAAAGCUACCCCGGGGAUAACAGGCUUAUCUCCCCCAAGAGUUCACAUCGACGGGGAGGUUUGGCACCUCGAUGUCGGCUCAUCGCAUCCUGGGGCUGUAGUCGGUCCCAAGGGUUGGGCUGUUCGCCCAUUAAAGCGGUACGCGAGCUGGGUUCAGAACGUCGUGAGACAGUUCGGUCCCUAUCCGUCGUGGGCGUAGGAAAUUUGAGAGGAGCUGUCCUUAGUACGAGAGGACCGGGAUGGACAUACCUCUGGUGUACCAGUUGUCGUGCCAACGGCAUAGCUGGGUAGCUAUGUGUGGACGGGAUAAGUGCUGAAAGCAUCUAAGCAUGAAGCCCCCCUCAAGAUGAGAUUUCCCAACUUCGGUUAUAAGAUCCCUCAAAGAU
rnacentral:rRNA from 1 species